GGAAGUAAAAGUCCUAACAAGGUUUCCGUAGGUGAACCUGCGGAAGGAUCAUUAUUGUAUAACCGAGGUGCGAGGGCUGUCGCUGACCCGAAAGGUCGUGCACGCCCGAGUGCCCUCACACACAUCCAUCUCACCCCGAUGUGCACCACCGCGUGGGUCCCCCUUUGGCAUGUUCGGAGGGGGGCUUACGUUUUCACACAAACUUUGUAUGCAGUGUAGAAUGUAUUUUUUGUUUUUGCGAUCACGCAAUCAAUACAACUUUCAACAACGGAUCUCUUGGCUCUC
rnacentral:misc_RNA from 1 species